GGGCUCGCCAAGCAGCAGUGGCUGCAACUCAGCCAGUGUGGGUAUUCAUUAUUAAAGAAAUGGACCGGGCUCUUUUUACUAAGUUUUUAUCUCCUUUAGGGAGAGCUGGUUUUGCCCUGGAUCGAAGCUCCUUGCAAAAUCUAGGUUAGAAUGGCACGGAGCAGCCUCCGCGCGCUCGCCAGCCUCCCAGCACCCGUGUCCCGGGCCGGCCUGGCGGGCACCUGGUCUACUGCCGGCAGCCCACCUCCUUGAGCCGACCCGCUUCCCCUCUGCACUGGCCCUGGCACCCCGGGGCCUCUCCCUUGCGUUCCUCGGCCCCCUCCCACCACUGUCGGUGCAAAGUGACAGUUGCUGCACUCACCUUUUCUAGGACAUGGUAGGGAGACUGGGGCGGGGGAGGGGGCCAGCGAGACUCCCGCCGCCUCCGCCGCUGCCGCCGUCAACAGCAAGUCCAAUACCGGCUGAUCGGCAAUCAGGAUGGAGAGGAUAGCAAUCCUGGCAGUCGCCCUACUGACGAUAUCUCUGCUUCUAGGAGUCACAACAUACAACAUGACCACUGACCUCCUCAUUUGAUGUCUUCAAAUCCAGGGGAAGAGACCUGUGAGUUAUGAUUAGAGUAAAAGCCCAGCUGUCCUGUGGGCCACAGUGAUGAAAGGAAGCAACAGCAGCAUUACAAGAUACUCUUCUCUGAAUUUGGACUAGUACUAGCUCCUAAAAGUAGUAAUUUGUACUAAUUACUCUUCUCAUUGCGGCUAUGAAGAACCUGUCAAAACCAUCUCAUGGAAAGAAUGUUUAUCUUGGAUCACAGCUCCAGGCUAUAAUAUAUCAUGGCAGGGACAACACAGCAAUGGGAGCCUGGAGUAGCUGGUUCCAUUGCAUCUGCAGUUAGGGAGCCAAGAACUGUAGCCCAUGGGAUGGUGAACCCAUGUCUAGAGUGAUGUCUUUUACCUCAGUUAACAUGAUCAUUUCAGCCAGGAAGCUGUCUUAAAUUGUCCUUAGUGUACAUAGUCUUUAGUCAUCAAGCUCAGGAACUCUGCCAUUUUAGUUCACUAUGUCACCCCCCCUCCAGUCAAAUAAAAUAUAGAAUUCACUCUUUCAAUUUCCCUGGCCAAACCUCAGCCUAUUGGAUUCCUGCUUAAUGUCCAUGACCCACUUGAGGCCUCCUUAAAAUAUAUGCUCUUUUUUGCUUUACUUUCUACAUGAUGGGUGGGGGGGGGGGCUUCUUUUAGAAAAAGUAAAGAAUUACAUGUUCAAAAUUAAACAUAGGAAUUAUUAUUUAUUUUUAUUGGGGAAAAAAGGAAUGAAAGGUGCAGAUCUCACAAAUGUUAGAAAUUCCAUAAAAUUACUGGAGUGGUUUUAUUAUUUGACUGUUCAAUAUAUUUCAGCAUUGUUUCUAGAUUACAUAGUUAUUGAUGAUCUUUUUGUAAGCCAAAGAUUAUGUAAUAUUUUCUGUAGAAAGAUUAGAAAGACAACCAACUCACUCUCUGCUCCAACUUGGUGGACUGACAUUUGAAAAAUAUUAAUAGUUUAGAAAAGUUGGAUGUAGCAUCAAAACUCAUUAUUGGUAAUGUCAUGUGAAUUAUUCUCAAUUUUUUUCAUAAAUAAACUGCUUUAGACCUACUGUAAGACAGGACUAAAAGCUUGUAUUAUAUAAAUCUAGGCACUCUGGUGAAUUUUAUUUUCUAUAAUUCCAAGACAAAAAGAAACAGAAUAUGAUAUAUUGUAACGAAGCAUUGUAGUUAUAAAGUGAUCGGUGCAUUGUUAAAUACAUUCCUGACAGAAUAUUCUGAUUCAAUAAAAACUGGAUCCUCU
rnacentral:lncRNA from 1 species